rnacentral:rRNA from 1 species
UUGCACGCUGGCGGCAGGCCUCACACAUGCCAGUCGAGCGGAUGAAGGGAGCUUGCUCCUGGAUUCAGCGGCGGACGGGUGAGUAAUGCCUAGGAAUCUGCCUGGUAGUGGGGGAUAACGUCCGGAAACGGGCGCUAAUACCGCAUACGUCCUGAGGGAGAAAGUGGGGGAUCUUCGGACCUCACGCUAUCAGAUGAGCCUAGGUCGGAUUAGCUAGUUGGUGGGGUAAAGGCCUACCAAGGCGACGAUCCGUAACUGGUCUGAGAGGAUGAUCAGUCACACUGGAACUGAGACACGGUCCAGACUCCUACGGGAGGCAGCAGUGGGGAAUAUUGGACAAAGGGCGAAAGCCUGAUCCAGCCAUGCCGCGUGUGUGAAGAAGGUCUUCGGAUUGUAAAGCACUUUAAGUUGGGAGGUAGGGCAGUAAGUUAAUACCUUGCUGUUUUGACGUUACCAACAGAAUAAGCACCGGCUAACUUCGUG